rnacentral:rRNA from 1 species
UACGUAGGGCGCAAGCGUUAUCCGGAAUUAUUGGGCGUAAAGAGCUCAUAGGUGGUUUGUCGCGUUGUUCGUGAAAACUCACAGCUCAACUGUGGGCGUGCGGGCGAUACGGGCAGACUAGAGUACUGCAGGGGAGACUGGAAUUCCUGGUGUAGCGGUGGAAUGCGCAGAUAUCAGGAGGAACACCGGUGGCGAAGGCGGGUCUCUGGGCAGUAACUGACGCUGAGGAGCGAAAGCGUGGGGAGCGAACAGG